AUACUUACCUGGCGUAGAGGUUACCGUGAUCAUAAAGGCGGUUACUCCAGGGUGAGGCUCAACCAUUGCACUAGGGUUGAGAAUGACCCCUGCGAAUAUCCCUAAUGUGGAUAUCUCGGACGUACAAUUUUUGGUAGUCGGGACUGCGUUCGCGCUAUCCCGG